rnacentral:rRNA from 1 species
GAUGAACGCUGGCGGCGUGCCUAAUACAUGCAAGUCGAGCGAAUGGAUUGAGAGCUUGCUCCUUUGACGUUAGCGGCGGACGGGUGAGUAACACGUGGGCAACCUACCUUAUAGUUUGGGAUAACUCCGGGAAACCGGGGCUAAUACCGAAUAAUCUGUUUCACCUCAUGGUGAAAUAUUGAAAGACGGUUUCGGCUGUCGCUAUAGGAUGGGCCCGCGGCGCAUUAGCUAGUUGGUGAGGUAACGGCUCACCAAGGCGACGAUGCGUAGCCGACCUGAGAGGGUGAUCGGCCACACUGGGACUGAGACACGGCCCAGACUCCUACGGGAGGCAGCAGUAGGGAAUCUUCCACAAUGGGCGAAAGCCUGAUGGAGCAACGCCGCGUGAGUGAAGAAGGAUUUCGGUUCGUAAAACUCUGUUGUAAGGGAAGAACAAGUACAGUAGUAACUGGCUGUACCUUGACGGUACCUUAUUAGAAAGCCACGGCUAACUACGUGCCAGCCGCCGCAGUAA